rnacentral:tRNA from 1 species
GGAGAGUUGGCAGAGCGGUCUAUUGCGGCAGUCUUGAAAACUGUUGAGGGUCACACCUCCUGGGGUUCGAAUCCCUAACUCUCCG